AUUGCUUCUCGGUCUUUGGAUAAGAUCAAGUGUAGUAUCUGUUCUUAUCAGUUUAAUAUCUGAUAUAUCAUCUGAUGAUAAUAUAUUAAAUUGAUUUUUGGCACUCGAUAAUGGAAUAGAGGCCUGCUCCAUUCAUUACACACAUCGACCUGGUAUUGCAAUACUUCCAGGAAUGGUGCACAAGAA